AAGAAAACCCUACUUAAAAAUCUGCCACGCGGCUGAAAACUGAAAACAACGAAAAUGUGAAUGCCACCCGCUGUAUCCAUUGGUCAAAUCAUAUAAAUUCAAUCCAUACCAUAUGUAUGUUCACAUUCACUGAUUCAUUUCUUUAAACACCAAUAAAGUCCCUCACUCUUGCUUCUCAAAAAAAAAAAAAAAAAAAAUCCCUCACUAUCGAUUAAAAGCAGAUACCUUCACUGAUACGAGUAAACCUUUCAAAAUCUCAGAAAUCUUCACUCAACCCUACCUCUAACCAUCACCUAUUUUUCAUUCCCAAAAGACUGCCUCUCAUGCCAUUUACAAGGUUUAGCCCGUCGGACCUGCUAUUGGGUCAAACGGCAGCAAAGAGAGUAGGAAAAAAAAUUUUAAACAAAGAAGGUACAGGCAAUAGAGAGAGGCUUUGGUUGAACUUUGAAGUUCAUGGAGAAGACAAUAGGUUUUUAUUUUUAUUUUUUUUAAUGUGUUAUGAAAUUUAGUCUCUUUGUCUCUAUUUCUCUCCCAUUAUUUUAUAUUGUUCAAAAAAUUUAUCACGCUCUUUGUUCAGUUCAAAUUUUUCGAUAUCAUUUUUUUUCUCUAUGCAAAUGUUAAUGCUUUGUUAUUCACUGGAAUUGGUAUGAAAUUUAGUCUCUUUGUCUCUAUUUCUCUCCCAUUAUUUUUUAUUGUUCAAAAAAUUUAUCAUGCUCUUUGUUUAGUUCUAAUUUUUUGAUAUCAUUUUUUUUUUCUUUGUGCAAAUGUUAAUGCUUUGUUAUUCACUGGAAUUGUUUUAGGGACCCAUGAAAUAUCUCUAGUCUACAAUUCAAAUAUUAUCAGUUCUAGAUCUCUUGCAGAUAGCAAAAGAUUUCACAUCUUACCCUUUUUCAUAACCUUCACAAAUCCAAAGUCGAAACAGAACAACAUUUUGGCCAAACUUCUACUUCUCUUAUUGUGUUUGCUGUGUUUAUAUUCAAUUGCUACUCUUAUUGAU